AUUGAACGCUGGCGGCAUGCUUUACACAUGCAAGUCGAACGGUCACAGGCCUUCGGGUGCUGACGAGUGGCGAACGGGUUAGUAAUGCAUCUGUACGUACCCAGCGGUGGCUGAAAACGCAGCCAAAUCUGUGCUAUUCCCGCAUGUGAUCUGAGGAUGAACGCGGGGUACCGACCCGCAUUGUUUGCCCUCGCGCCUUUGGAACGGCCGCUGUCGGAUUAGCCAGUAGGUGGGGUAAAGGCCUACCAAGGCGACGGUCCGUAGCUGGUCUGAGAGGACGACCAGCCAGGCGGGGACUGAGACACGGCCAAGACUCCUACGGGAGGCAGCAGUGGGGAAUUUUGGACGAUGGGGGCAAGCAUGAUCCAGCAAGGCCGCGAGCGGGAAGGAGGACUUCGGGUUGUAAGCCGCUUGUGGCAGGAACGAAACGGUGUCCGCUAAUACCGGGCGCUAAUGACGGUACCUGCAGAAUAAGCACCGGCUAACUACGUG
rnacentral:rRNA from 1 species